rnacentral:misc_RNA from 1 species
AACGCAAAUUGCGCUUCUUGGAUAGGCCAGGAAGCAUGCCUCUUUGAGUAUCGUUUUCACCCCAGCUCGACUGCUUGAUUGUUUUGUAACAAAAACGGUCAUUUAUGUCGGAGAAUGAGUUUGUCUUGUCUGAAAUAGAUAAGUCACUUUAAAUGCUGUGAGUGUUUUAAUCGCUUUAUACUAUCAGUGUUGGUUAGUUAAUCUAAUCGCUUGAGUAGUAAUAUGGAUAAUCUCUAUUUAUAUUACAUCGCUUGAGUGAUCUAGACGACUAAUGUUAUCUGCAUUGGUGGUUGAUUAUAAUAUAACAUUCAGUGGAAAUUAAUCUAAUACUUAAUCGUAUUAAUACCUUUUGAAUUAGAUCUCAAAUGAAGCAAGACUACCCGCUGAACUUAA